rnacentral:tRNA from 1 species
GGAAGUGUGGCGGAACUGGUAAACGCAUCCGACUCCUAAUCGGUCAAACCUUGCCCGGGUUUUGUGGGUUCGAGUCCCACCACUUCCA